GCUUCCGUAGCUCAGUUGGUUAGAGCGUCGUACUAAUACUUCAACCCGAGUAUCCAGUAAUGCGAAGGUCUCAGGUUCAAGCCCUGGCGGGAGCA
rnacentral:tRNA from 1 species